AACGAACGCUGGCGGCAUGCCUAGCACAUGCAAGUCGAACGAGACCUUCGGGUCUAGUGGCGCACGGGUGCGUACCGCGUGGGAACCUGCCCUUAGGUUCGGAAUAACUCCCCGAAGGGGGUGCUAAUACCGGAUAAUCUCUUCGGACCAAAGAUUUAUGGCCUUUGGAUGGGCCCGCGUUGGAUUAGCUAGUUGGUAGGGUAAAAGCCUACCAAGGCGACGAUCCAUAGCUGGUCUGAGAGGAUGAUCAGCCACACUGGGACUGAGACACGGCCCAGACUCCUACGGGAGGCAGCAGUGGGGAAUAUUGGACAAUGGGCGAAAGCCUGAUCCAGCAAUGCCGCGUGAGUGAUGAAGGCCUUAGGGUUGUAAAGCUCUUUUACCCGGGAUGAUAAUGACAGUACCGGGAGAAUAAGCUCCGGCUAACUCCGUG
rnacentral:rRNA from 1 species